rnacentral:rRNA from 1 species
GAGUUUGAUCGUGGCUCAGAUUGAACGCUGGCGGCAUGCCUUACACAUGCAAGUCGAACGGCAGCAUGAUCUAGCUUGCUAGAUUGAUGGCGAGUGGCGAACGGGUGAGUAAUACAUCGGAACGUGCCCUGUAGUGGGGAGUAACUAGUCGAAAGAAUUAGUCUAAUAACCGCCAUACGACCUCGAGGGUGGAAAGUAGGGGGACCGGCGAAGGCCUCAUGCUAUAGGAGCGGCCGAUGUCUGAUUAGCUAGUUGGUGGGGUAAAGGGCCCGACCAACGGCGACGAUCAGUAGCUGGUCUGAGAGGACGAUCAGCCACACUGGGACUGAGACACGGCCCAGACUCCUACGGGAGGCAGCAGUGGGGAAUUUUGGACAAUGGGCGAAAGCCUGAUCCAGCAAUGCCGCGUGUGUGAAGAAGGCC